GUCACUGUCUGACCCCUCUGCCAUUCCUCAUCCACGGCUCGGCAUAUAAGGCGGCCAGAGGACGGCUGCGCACAAACUCCUCAUUUCUGCCGCUUCGCCAUGCGCCUGCUGCCCCUACUCCUUGUGCUCUGCGUGCUGGUCCUCGCGGCUGAAGGAUGGAAGUGUUACCGUCCGCGGCAGACGUGCGGUAUCUUCCGUAACAAGGUGUGCCUACUAUGCAGAUAUGGAAAGCUCUGCUGCCGCGGUGGCGAUACUUUCAGAGAGUGCCAGAGAAAGUGCAAAUAUGGACAUUGCUAUCCGUGCCAUCUCGGCUUCUGCUGUCGCCCCCCUUUCUGUCAAGGCAAGAACUGCAAACAGCGCUAAUCGCUCUGCUGAAGAAAGCAUACCUGCCAUCAGCAAGAGGACAUCUCCAGCGUUCGGAGCGUCAAAGAGGGCACACACCGGCGCACAGUUCGAAUCCAUCUGUUGGCUGAUGCUCAGUAUUUUAACAAUGCGGGAUACGAGAGGCCGUUGACUUCCAAGCGGUGCCAACUGAGACAUUGCCUUUCACCAAAAAUACCGGCGGGCAUCUCGACGGCUGAGUGUACCGUGCAAAGACGUAAAACCGCAACCACAGUCGCAUUUUGAAAAAAAGACUAGCGUCAUGCACGACUGUCAUUCUUGUGACCUAGCAGCUUAUAUCACCCAGUGUAGAUGGCUAACGACGCGCGCGCAGCGACCCGAAAGAACAUGCUAGCAAUCAUGGUCUCGCGGGCUUGGAGGGCGUUAAUCAAACGUGCACGUUAAUUGUUAAUUAAUUGAGCGCCGUUAAUUGAACACAUUGGCCUGUCUGUGCACUGCUGCCGCUGAGGACGAUAGCCGUCGAAUGCCACCUGGCUCAGACAAAUAAAGGAAAUGGGUAACUCUCA